CUCCCUGCCUUUGCCAUCUUAAUCCUUUGAGAAGACACCUGUGCCAACACAGAGCGAAGCAUGUGCUUGUUCAGCUCACUGUGACACGUAAUAAUCCCUGACAUUAGUCAAUAUGUUGGAAAUGGAAAUUCAAUCAUAAAAGACAUUUUUCUUCCAGAUUAUGUAGAAAUGAUUUCAUUAAGUUUGCUUUCAAAAAGUAUUUUUCCCAAAAGCUGAUGUCGCCUUCAAUGGUUAUGUUAAAGGGGCCUAAUGAAGACCUACAUGGACUGAAACAUCAGCACUAAUGGUGCCUGAUUCUGUCUUUGUCAUUUUGGUGAUGAGAAAUAAAGGAAGACUGGAUAUCUUCAGUUAAUGCAAUCCUUUUAGAGCUCUUUAAUUGAACAAUUCCUUAAGGGACAAAGUGUCCUGGGGAAUAAAAGCGGCAGAAGCAAUUUCCUUGAGUUACAGGCAUUGUUAUAGAGCAAGCAUCUCAGAGAAAAGAGGAGCGGGUGGUUGGAGAGGAGGCGCUACUUAGGGUCACAUCACAUCUCAUUCUUCAGCCACUGUCUCCCUCCUUCUCUUUUCUUCUCUUUCCUCCUCUGAGUUUCCUUCCUCCCAUCACGGGAGGGAGACCAGUGACAUAGUUUAAUACACUCAGAAGGACAUUCCAGCCUGUAGAGUAAACUUCUAUUCUAUUUUUUAUUUCAAGAGGUUUCACAAAGAGUUAUCUGACCUCUUCUAGGACGUAAGGGCAAGAUUUUCAUUUAAAAUUGGAGAAAGCUCUAGAGCAAAGUUGAAUCCUAUACCUAUCUUCAUGCCCUCUUACCCUGAAGCAUAUAAGUAUGUGGAUGUUACAGCAACCUGCCAGCAGAGAUCAGUCCAAGGAGAGAACUAACAUCCAGUUGAUGAGGGCAGAAGCGCAGGAGUGUGGGGUGUACAUUUCCUCCAGCCCCAUGUGCAGAGUCUCUUUCAGGUGCCCACUCAGGAGAAUCCAGGUUUUCCUUUUUCUAAGGAAGGUGGCAUUUUCUUUUAUGGACAAUCGGACUCUGCUUUCAUACAGUUUCUUCAGCUUGGCUGAAGCUCAGGGAAGUAAACAGCAAAAACAGGUGAACCAUAAAAUUAAGCCUACAUCAUGGGGAUGUUAACUAAGGCCAUUAAAUCUGUCAUUUGGGAUCUAAAUAUUGGAGUACGACUUUGAUGAUACUGUAAAAUUGUACCUAAAGUAGACUAAUCCAGAAUAAUAAUACAGCAAACAGCAUGAUUGAAAAAUUUGAAAAAUUACUCAAGCUUCCCAAUUGGUAUUUACAUUAGCACAUCCCCACCCUUAAUGACAUAAAAAGAAAUAGCGUUACAGAUGCUUAAUGCAUCAGGCCUCAACGAAUCAGGAGGAAACGCAGAUGUCUUACGUAGCUCUAACAACAUUUUAAUAUUAAACAAACAAACCGCCAUUAGAUAGGCGUGGCAAAGGCAUAUCCUGCUGCCUGCUUAAUCACGGGAAGUGGAGAUUUCAGAUGCUCGUCCUCUGUAUUCUUCAGGAGUUCAUUCCAAACCUCGCGGCUGCAAGGCAAGAGCCAGGAGAAUUAAAUACGGUAAAAAGGCAGGCAGCAGCGAGGUGAGAAUUCACCCUGUGACACGGGUGAACGCUACCACGGAGGCCGCUCAGCCUUCGCCUGAGAGGGAGAGGAAGACCUUGUUCACACUCAGCCUUUGGUUGUGCUGAGUGUGAAUUAGGGUUGUUUCUGAAUUAAAAACCGGGAGAAGCUACACAGAACUAUAUUAGAAAUAUUAUGAGAUACGUAGAAGGAAGAAGAAUGGAGAAGUGGGAGAGAGAAGGAGAGAGAGGGCAAGUCGACUGAGAGCUUGGAGAGGCAGAAUUGAAACGAGAUUGGAGUGACUAAGGAACUUUCAGAAUGAACGAUGUCUAGAGAGUGUGGUAGGAAAUCUUCGUGUAUUUGUGACAGUGAAAUCACCCCCUCCCCAUAGCUUCGUAAAAAAAUAAAAUGAAAACUUCAACCA
rnacentral:lncRNA from 1 species